AGAAAAUCUGGAAAGGGGAAAGAAAGAAGAGAAGCCCCCUGACUUCUCCCUGAGCCCCAGACAGCCCAUGAACUGCCUUGCUGGGAAUGGUAGGACGGGGUGGACUCUGGAUUGCUCCCUCUGGAUGUGUGGAACUCCAGGAACUCCUGGUGCCGCCUGGGCCGAUGGAUUGGACGCCCCAGCCCCUCCGUUCCUGCCCAGCCCCUGGGUCCGUGUCCAGUGGUGGCACUGCCAGCCCUGCAGUGGGAUGUAGCCUGGAAAGUGCACAGAGCUGAGCCAAGGGAUUGAAAGGGACCAAGCAAGGGAGGUGAAGAAAGAAGGAAGAAGGGAAGUGAGGCAGCAGGCAAGCAGCACCAAGUUGCUGUGUAAGCAGGUGAGUUGUGUUGAGGUUCCUAAGGCAGGCACUGAGGACUUUGAGGGCUCCAGACAGAGCAGACCUGGGAAGGCCCUCGGUGAAGCCCCUUGGAAACCUUCUAAGGGUAGGUGUGUAUGGUGAUAAGUGUUGGAAAAUGUCCUGACUGUGGAACAGGAAUGCAGGGAAGGAAAAUGAAUCCUCCUGUAAUGCUGACCCCUCCCAUCAGCUGUAGUAGAGA